rnacentral:tRNA from 1 species
GGUGGCUCAGUGGUAGAGUGCUUGCCUUGUAUGCCUGAGGCCCUGGGUUCGAUUCCCCAGCACCA